UGGGGAAUAUUGCACAAUGGAGGGAACUCUGAUGCAGCAACGCCGCGUGCGGGAUGACGGCCUUCGGGUUGUAAACCGCUUUCAGCCAUGACGAAGCUUUUGUGACGGUAGUGGUAGAAGAAGCACCGGCUAACUACGUGCCAGCAGCCGCGGUGGUACGUAGGGUGCGAGCGUUGUCCGGAAUUAUUGGGCGUAAAGAGCUUGUAGGCGGUUUGUCGCGUCGAUAGUGUAAACACGCAGCUUAACUGUGUGCCUGCUGUCGAUACGGGCUGACUAGAGGAGGGUAGGGGAGAAUGGAAUUCCCGGUGGAGCGGUGGAAUGCGCAGAUAUCGGGAGGAACACCAGUGGCGAAGGCGGUUCUCUGGACCUUUCCUGACGCUGAGAAGCGAAAGCGUGGGUAGCAAACAGG
rnacentral:rRNA from 1 species